rnacentral:rRNA from 1 species
AAAUACUUUACAACACAAAUAUUCGCCAGAGUACUACAAGCCACAGCUCAAAACUCAAAGGACUUGGCGGUGCUUCACAUCCCUCUAGAGGAGCCUGUUCUAUAAUCGAUAAACCCCGAUAAACCUCACCACUUCUUGUCACCUCAGCCUAUAUACCGCCAUCUUCAGCAAACCUUAACAAAGAACAAAAGUAAGCCCAAGUAUAGUCAUAAAAACGUUAGGUCAAGGUGUAGCCUAUGAAGUGGGAAGAAAUGGGCUACAUUUUCUUAACCAAGAACAUACUACGCUAACUUUCAUGAAAUUUGAAAGAAAAAGGAGGAUUUAGUAGUAAGCUAAGAAUAGAGUGCUUAGCUGAAUAGGGCAAUGAAGCACGCACACACCGCCCCGUC